rnacentral:lncRNA from 1 species
CUACUUUUCAAUCUCUCUGGGGAUUAAAAUAGGUCACUCUGCCUAAAGAGAGUCUUGUUUUAUGUCAUUUCCUGAACAGGCCAUAUGUACUCAUCAGCUAGCAGUAAGGCCCCCACCCACAUCUGCUCUAUCUCCCGGAGCUGGUUGUUAACAUCCACCCUUCUUCUGAAGCCCAGGGUACAGUAGGGCUACAGAGAAUGUUGGCAUCUUACCAGUCUGCAGUGUGAUUUAGGCCAGGCAAUGCAGAUUUAGUACGGCUUCUUUUAUUCAUAAGCAAGGAGAGCCUGAGGAUGCUGAGCCUCACCUCUGUGUUGGAGGUGCAAAUGCUCAAACUUUGCUUCUGGCCAGGUGGGCAGGAGAUACAUAAGGAAAAUGGACACAGAUCCUUCUGGAUGGGGAAUUCUGACCUUUUGAUGUCUGAGUCCCUUACUGUCCAGUCAAAGGUUUGAAAAGUGUUUUAUUUUUCAUUGCUAGGUAUUCGUUAAAUAGUUACUGAUGCCAUAACAAUUUUAUGUGACAUAACUGUAUAUCUGCCAAGGUAUAGAGAAAAGAGAAUGGGGUAAAUGUCUUUUUGUUUCUGUUUCAUG